rnacentral:pre_miRNA from 1 species
GUUUUGACUCUUCGUCUUAUUUAAAUUUUUUUAUGAUUAAUAUUUUUAUUGUUACUAGAUGAUAAAAUAUGAAUAGUACGUUAUGCGUGAAUAAUUUUUUUAAAGUUUUUAUAUAAUUUUUUAAAAUAAAACAAAUGAUCAAAGC